GACGAACCGAGCGAACGUUGUUCGGAAUUACUGGGCGUAAAGGGCGCGUAGGCGGUCAGGUCAGUCCCGUGUGAAAUCCCUCGGCUCAACUGAGGAACUGCACGGGAAACUGCCUGGCUUGAGUUCGGGAGAGGGAAGCGGAAUUCCGGGUGUAGCGGUGAAAUGCGUAGAUAUCCGGAGGAACACCGGUGGCGAAGGCGGCUUCCUGGACCGACACUGACGCUGAGGCGCGAAAGCUAGGUGAGCAAACGGG
rnacentral:rRNA from 1 species